rnacentral:rRNA from 1 species
UACGAAGGGGGCUAGCGUUGUUCGGAUUUACUGGGCGUAAAGCGCACGUAGGCGGAUGUGUCAGUCAGGGGUGAAAUCCCGGGGCUCAACCUCGGAACUGCCUUUGAUACAGCACGUCUCGAGUCCGGAAGAGGUGGGUGGAAUUCCUAGUGUAGAGGUGAAAUGCGCAGAUAUCAGGAAGAACACCAAUGGCGAAAGCAGCUCUCUGGGACGGUACUGACGCUGAGACGCGAAAGCGUGGGGAGCGAACAGG